rnacentral:rRNA from 1 species
AGCGAACGCUGGCGGCAGGCUUAACACAUGCAAGUCGAGCGGGCGUAGCAAUACGUCAGCGGCAGACGGGUGAGUAACGCGUGGGAACAUACCUUUUGGUUCGGAACAACACAGGGAAACUUGUGCUAAUACCGGAUAAGCCCUUACGGGGAAAGAUUUAUCGCCGAAGAUUGGCCCGCGUCUGAUUAGCUUGUUGGUGAGGUAACGGCUCACCAAGGCGACGAUCAGUAGCNGGUCUGAGAGGAUGAUCAGCCACACUGGGACUGAGACACGGCCCAGACUCCUACGGGAGGCAGCAGUUGGGAAUCUUGGACAAUGGGGGAAACCCUG